CAGCCGCCGCGGUAAUACGUAGGUGGCAAGCGUUGUCCGGAAUUAUUGGGCGUAAAGGGCUCGCAGGCGGUUUCCUAAGUCUGAUGUGAAAGCCCCCGGCUCAACCGGGGAGGGUCAUUGGAAACUGGGAAACUUGAGUGCAGAAGAGGAGAGUGGAAUUCCACGUGUAUCGGUGAAAUGCGUAGAGAUGUGGAGGAACACCAGAGGCGAAGGCGACUCUCUGGUCUGUAACUGACGCUGAGGAGCGAAAGCGUGGGGAGCGAACAGGAUUAGAGACCCCCGUAGUCCCUGUCUCUUAUAC
rnacentral:rRNA from 1 species